rnacentral:rRNA from 2 species
GGAGGUCACGGCGAGACGAGCCGUUUAUCAUUACGAUAGGUGUCAAGUGGAAGAUGGCCUUCAACAAAAAAAAGUGGAAGGUGGCCUUCAACAAAAAAAAAGUGGAAGGUGGCAGUAAUGUACGCAGCUGAGGCAUCCUAACAGACCGG